CUCUGGGAAGUUCUGUAGCUCUGCCCUACUUCAUCUCUAAUACAGGUGUUUGAAUGAUCGGAGUCCUGAAAGAAGCUAGGGGAAGCUUAAGAAAGAUCUUAAAAGGUUACUAAAGAAGAAAGCAUAUCCAAGUGUAACUAACAAUCACUUGGGUUGGAAAUCAGGCCCUGCCUGUGGUAACUCGAAUCAAUUCCUUUAAUCAGCAGGAGGCAGGAACCAAAGACCCACGCUCAAUAUUAUGGGCUUAAAAAAUAAGGUGGAGAAAAUUAUAUGUCUAACAUGUGCAAAGCAAUGCCAGCCCAGUCUCCUGUGUGUAAAUAAACUUUGGGUCUUAUCUGGUAGUCAAACAAUCUAAAUUUUUCCAA